rnacentral:tRNA from 1 species
GACUCGUUGGUCUAGGGGUAUGAUACUCGCUUAAGGUGCGAGUGGUCCUAAGUUCGAAUCCUGGACGAAUAC